UUGAGAUGCUUGCAUCGAAGAUGAUUUUAACUAUAAAGUGAGUGGCGAACGGGUGAGUAACACGUGGGUAACCUGCCCAGAAGUGGGGGAUAACACCUGGAAACAGAUGCUAAUACCGCAUAACAAAAUUAACCGCAUGGUUGAUUUUUAAAAGAUGGCUUCGGCUAUCACUUCUGGAUGGACCCGCGGCGUAUUAGCUAGUUGGUGAGAUAAAGGCUCACCAAGGCAGUGAUACGUAGCCGACCUGAGAGGGUAAUCGGCCACAUUGGGACUGAGACACGGCCCAGACUCCUACGGGAGGCAGCAGUAGGGAAUCUUCCACAAUGGACGCAAGUCUGAUGGAGCAACGCCGCGUGAGUGAUGAAGGCUUUCGGGUCGUAAAACUCUGUUGUUGGAGAAGAACGUGUGUGAGAGUAACUGCUCAUGCAGUGACGGUAUCCAACCAGAAAGCCACGGCUAACUACGUGCCAGCAGCCGCGGUAAUACGUAGGUGGCAAGCGUUAUCCGGAUUUAUUGGGCGUAAAGCGAGCGCAGGCGGUCUUUUAAGUCUAAUGUGAAAGCCUUCGGCUUAACCGAAGAAGUGCAUUGGAAACUGGGAGACUUGAGUGCAGAAGAGGAGAGUGGAACUCCAUGUGUAGCGGUGAAAUGCGUAGAUAUAUGGAAGAACACCAGUGGCGAAGGCGGCUCUCUGGUCUGCAACUGACGCUGAGGCUCGAAAGCAUGGGUAGCGA
rnacentral:rRNA from 1 species